rnacentral:rRNA from 1 species
UUCCGGUUGAUCCCGCCGGACCUGACUGCUAUCGGAUUGAUACUAAGCCAUGCGAGUCUUUGCAGUAAUGCAAGGCAUACGGCUCAGUAACACGUAGUCAACCUACCCUAUGGACAAGAAUAAUCUCGGGAAACUGAGCAUAAUUCUUGAUAGAUCAUAAUGCCUGGAAUGGUUUAUGGUUAAAAUGAUUCGUCGCCGUAGGAUGGGACUGCGGCCUAUCAGCUUGUUGGUGAGGUAAUGGCCCACCAAGGCGAUUACAGGUACGGGCUCUGAGAGGAGAAGCCCGGAGAUGGGUACUGAGACACGGACCCAGGCCCUAUGGGGCGCAGCAGGCGAGAAAACUUUGCAAUGUGCGAAAGCACGACAAGGUUAAUCCGAGUGAUUUCUGCUAAAGAAAUCUUUUGCCAGUCAUAAAACCACUGGUGAAUAAGGGGUGGGCAAGUUCUGGUGUCAGCCGCCGCGGUAAAACCAGCACCUCAAGUGGUCAGGAUGAUUAUUGGGCCUAAAGCAUCCGUAGCCGGCUUUGUUAGUUUUCGGUUAAAUCCAUGUGCUCAACGCAUGGGCUGCCGAAAAUACUGCAUGGCUAGGAAGUAGGAGAGGUAGACGGUACUCAGUAGGAAGGGGUAAAAUCCUUUGAUCUAUUGAUGACCACCUGUGGCGAAGGCGGUCUACCAGAACACGUUCGACGGUGAGGGAUGAAAGCUGGGGGAGCAAACCGGAUUAGAUACCCGGGUAGUCCCAGCUGUAAACGAUGCAGACUCGAUGAUGCAUUGGCAUAAUAGCCAGUGCAGUGUCGCAGGGAAGCCGUUAAGUCUGCCGCCUGGGAAGUACGUACGCAAGUAUGAAACUUAAAGGAAUUGGCGGGGGAGCACCACAAGGGGUGAAGCCUGCGGUUCAAUUGGAUUCAACGCCGGA